CGCGGGCGAGGGGACGGCGAGCCCCCGCUGCCUAAACAGAAAACGGAGGCGAUGAUCUGGGUAACUACGGGCGGAGUGGGAGGAAACCUGCUCUGCACAGUUAAGAUAACCCGGGUCCCCAGAGCACCAUCACUUCUAAGACUGUGACCUGCUUACAGAUCCACUCCUCUGCCCCCACAGUCCACAUGUCCACCCUGGGGGCCAUGGCUUAUUGAUUCUUCCAUGUAUCAGCCCAAGAAUCCCCUGCUGCCUUCUGAAUAAAGGGUGCAAAUACACGAA
ensembl:lncRNA USP12-AS1 USP12 antisense RNA 1